rnacentral:rRNA from 1 species
AAGGUAGUGCGCUAACCGCAAGGAGGCAGCUAACCACGGUAGGGUCAGCGACUGGGGUGAAGUCGUAACAAGGUAGCCGUAGGGGAACCUGCGGCUGGAUCACCUCCUUUCUAAGGA